CCCAGGUUCACAAAACACAGUAAAGGUUACUGACCAACAAACGAGAUAUUAUUAAUAACUUGUGCCAAGGGAGUGAGGGAAGAAAAGGAAAUGACGAGCAGGGCCCCUGCCGUGUUUGCAGCCCGGGCUUGGUCACUGGCGAGGAUGACCUCUUCCAGCCUCCUUACAGGAAGAGAGGAAGCUCCUCCUUAGGGAGUGACAACUCAGAAAAUUUCAGGACCCAUUCACAGCCUCGCGGAACAUGUAUUUGGGGUGAAUGCUGAACAGGAAGGGUUAUUUUUCACCAACCUCUAACUCAACCAGAGAAGCAACUACUUCUUUUACUCGAUGAUUAAGGUGGACAGUCUGUGGAAGUGAGUUUGGCAGCUUUGCAAUGAGCUCUUUCAGUCCAAAGAGACAUUCAUUAGUAAACUGGA
rnacentral:lncRNA from 1 species